CAGUGGUUCAAAAUACCAGCCACCAAUUGUAUUGAGCAAGAAGAUGACCUAUCUCUUGAGGAGUCAGUGUACAUUAUCAGAGAACUGGCUGCUGAACUGGACAGAGUGGUACAGGUAAACAUUUGGCCUUACAAUAUGAAUUUAAUAUGAAUUUAUCAGAAGUUCAAAUGAUCUACAUUAUGCCCACAGUCCAAGAAGUUAUCCUUGAUGACUCGGAAGAUUAAAAAUAAAGGAAGUAACGAAGAACAACAGUAUUAUAUUUUGCAGUGGGCAAAAGAUCUUGAGAACAUAAAGACAAAACAAAUGGACAAGAAAGAGACCUCCUCUGAGCAGUUGUCAAGUGAAAUGAAAUUUAACAAAGCAAAAAAAAUCUUGUCUGACUGGUUUUGGAAACUGAAAGAUCUGAAACAGAACUCAGUAUGUCCAAAGGGGGGAUGGGAAGAAACACUGAGGGAUCUUCACAAAGAGCGGAAGCAGGGAGAGUCCAGCAUGCUUCCAGUAAUGGACUGGAUGGUAUGGGCUGUUCUACAGUCAGAAUGCUCUGAGGUAAAGAAUACAAAAGUUGAUCAUAUAAUGAAAAUUAAAGUUGAAGAAACCAAAAGAUACAA
rnacentral:lncRNA from 1 species